CACUUCUAAGGAAGGCAGCAGGCGCGCAAAUUACCCAAUCCUGACUCAGGGAGGUAGUGACAAGAAAUAACAAUAAACCGGCUUAUGCCGGUUUAAUUGGAAUGAGUACAAUUUAAACAUCUUAACGAGGAACAAUUGGAGGGCAAGUCUGGUGCCAGCAGCCGCGGUAAUUCCAGCUCCAAUAGCGUAUACUAAAGUUGUUGCAGUUAAAAAGCUCGUAGUUGGAUUUCUGUGGGGACGGAGCGGCCGGCCGCAACUCGCGGUUCGAGCUAGCGCUUUCCCUACAUCCUGCCGCGAACCGUGCUACCAUUAAUUUGGUGGCGCCGGGGAUCGGCUCGAUUACUUUGAGAAAAAUAGAGUGUUCAAAGCAGGCCACACGCCUUGAAUAAGUUAGCAUGGAAUAAUAACUAAGGACUUCGGUUCUAUUUUGUUGGUGUUCGGGACUGAAGUAAUGAUUGAUAGGGACAGUUGGGGCGGUCUGUAUUCCAAAGCGAGAGGUGAAAUUCUUAGACCUUCGGAAGACAAACAGCUGCGAAAGCGUUCCGCAAGGAUGUUCCCUUUGAUCAAGAACGAAAGUUGGGGGAUCGAAGACGAUCAGAUACCGUCGUAGUCUCAACUAUAAACUAUACCAGCUAGGGAUCGGCCAACGUUAUUUAAACCGACUUGGUCGGCACCUUAUGAGAAAUCAAAGCAUCUGGGUUCCGGGGGGAGUAUGGUCGCAAGGCUGAAACUUAAAGGAAUUGACGGAAGGGCACCACCAGCCGUGGAGCCUGUGGCUUAAUUUGACUCAACACGGGAAAACUUACCAGGUCCAGACAUAGUAAGGAUUGACAGAUUGAUAGCUCUUUCUUGAUUCUGUGGGUGGUGGUGCAUGGCCGUUCUUAGUUGGUGGAGUGAUUUGUCUGGUUAAUUCCGUUAACGAACGAGACCCCAGCCUGCUAAAUAGCGCGCGUGAGCUUUGCUCGCGGCGAGCUUCUUAGAGGGACUAUGAUGCGCGAUAGCACAUGGAAGUUUGGGGCAAUAACAGGUCUGUGAUGCCCUUAGAUGUUCUGGGCCGCACACGGGCUACACUGGCGCCUGCAACGAGCAUAUCAGCUGGCCCGAGAGGGUCUUGGCUAAUCUUUUGAACCGGCGCCGUGCUUGGGAUUGACCUUUGCAAUUGUUGGUCAUGCAACGAGGAAUGCCUUGUAAACGCGAGUCAUCAGCUCGCAUUGAAUACGUCCCUGCCCUUUGUACACACCGCCCGUCGCUCCUACCGAUGAAUGUUCCGAUGAAAUUUUCGGAGAGUGCCUGUGAACUUGGCUCUGCCUUGCGAACGGGAAGCUCAAAGUCACUUAAAUCUGAACAUUUCGAGG
rnacentral:rRNA from 1 species